UGGGGAAUAUUGGACAAUGGGCGCAAGCCUGAUCCAGCCAUACCGCGUGGGUGAAGAAGGCCUUCGGGUUGUAAAGCCCUUUUGUUGGGAAAGAAAUCCAGCUGGCUAAUACCCGGUUGGGAUGACGGUACCCAAAGAAUAAGCACCGGCUAACUUCGUGCCAGCAGCCGCGGUAAUACGAAGGGUGCAAGCGUUACUCGGAAUUACUGGGCGUAAAGCGUGCGUAGGUGGUCGUUUAAGUCCGUUGUGAAAGCCCUGGGCUCAACCUGGGAACUGCAGUGGAUACUGGGCGACUAGAAUGUGGUAGAGGGUAGCGGAAUUCCUGGUGUAGCAGUGAAAUGCGUAGAGAU
rnacentral:rRNA from 1 species